GACGAACGCUGGCGGCGUGCUUAACACAUGCAAGUCGAACGGAAAGGCCCUGCUUUUGUGGGGUGCUCGAGUGGCGAACGGGUGAGUAACACGUGAGUAACCUGCCCUUGACUUUGGGAUAACUUCAGGAAACUGGGGCUAAUACCGGAUAGGAGCUCCUGCUGCAUGGUGGGGGUUGGAAAGUUUCGGCGGUUGGGGAUGGACUCGCGGCUUAUCAGCUUGUUGGUGGGGUAGUGGCUUACCAAGGCCUUGACGGGUAGCCGGCCUGAGAGGGUGACCGGCCACAUUGGGACUGAGAUACGGCCCAGACUCCUACGGGAGGCAGCAGUGGGGAAUAUUGCACAAUGGGCGGAAGCCUGAUGCAGCAACGCCGCGUGCGGGAUGACGGCCUUCGGGUUGUAAACCGCUUUCGCCUGUGACGAAGCGUGAGUGACGGUAAUGGGUAAAGAGGCACCGGCUAACUACGUG
rnacentral:rRNA from 1 species